rnacentral:rRNA from 1 species
CGGGAAGAGCUCAAAUUUGUAAUCUGGCACUUUCAGUGUCCGAGUUGUAAUCUCGAGAAGUAUUUUCCGCGCCGGACCGCAUACAAGUCUGUUGGAAUACAGCGUCAUAGUGGUGAGAACCCCGUAACUGAUGCGGAUGCCCGGUGCUUUGCGAUAUACUUUCGAA